rnacentral:lncRNA from 1 species
GCACGCCCUUCGGUUCCUUCGUCUUCCUAAACUCUCUGUGGUGUCUGAGGAAUGCUGCCCACGUCUUCAGUCUCUGCAAGUUCUCUCCACCCUCUUUCUCUGGGGGAUGGCCCCCUCCCCAGGUGCCCUUCCUAACCUCAGACCCUUCUGUCUCACUUUCCUCUGCGGCUUCUCCUCCUGACCACUUCUCAAAGGGUUCUGUUCUCGAAGGCACGGUCUUCAGGGAACAGGAACGCCUCGGGUCUCAGAGCAAGGUCAUGUGCUCCUACGAUUCGACUCGCCCCCGGAUGCCCAGGGCUUCUGAGUGCGUACGACUGACGUCACCCUGCCCCUGACUCCACGCUGCUUUCUCUAACUGUCUGCUGGACGCACCUCUCAGGAUGUCCAAAGGCUUCUCAAAACCGACACGUCCAAAAGGGAGCCCGAACAACAGGAAGACGGCAGAUCAGAGAGCAGCUUGAUGGCAACCCCCCGGCCCCCGCCCCGACCGAACAUCGUGCAGAGGCUUGGACCAGCUGAAAUGACGGAUCGCCCACUUUCUGCGUCAGGGACGGAGAUCCUCGGCGUGCAACAUGUCGAACCCCACUGACUUCGCACUUGUGACCCACGAAGAAAUACGAGCGACAGUCGCACCUGAGUAGAGGACUCUUCAAGCUUCACUCCCAGCACUCUCCUGAUCCUACCCCUUCCCUCUGGAGGCAAUAUAGUCCUUGUCUACAAAUAUUACUUAAGGCCAUCUAUGCUGUGACCUACAAAUUAGCCCAGCUUCAGCGGGGACCCCCUCCAGCAAAAGACUCUAGAAGCUGUCCUAAUUAAAAUCAACAAGCCAUCCCACUAGAGCCCUCAGAGACUCCUCUGGUGAAGAGGCUUCGGCAACCUCCUCUCAUGCUUCCUGGAAAACCCAGAACGUGGGUAAGUUUCUGUCGGUACCUGAGCAAGAAGCCCGCCUCAUUGGUCCUGCAUUCUGCAGUAUUAGAGCGACAAUCACUGGCCUGUUCUGGAAAUAGAGUCUUUCCUGGAUGCUGAGGCCUCCAUUCCCAGCUGCCUAUUAUCACUUUAGUCCUGGAAGCAGCACACAACAAGUGUGGGAAGGUUACCAAGGCCUCCUUGCAACACGAUGGAUCCAAAAAUGGUCCCUGUGGCAUGUCCUACCUGUCAGAUUCGGUGCCCUCCCCUGUCCUCCAUCCAUUGCCGAAAAGCAUGGAGCUGCAGAUGUCACCUCUCCCAGAGAACCCUUGGCUACCUUACUGAUCUUAUUGGCUGCCCUCUUGGCCCCCCUUGGAUCCAUCCUCCACACUGUUGGGAGGGUGAACUAAGAGGAAAACCCUGCCAUUACUGACACGGUGCCCGGCCCCCAUAGGGGUGGACGUGGCAAAGAACGUAACCAAAGUUUCUGAGGUUGUUUUGCAGAACAACAGGAAGACGGCAGAUCAGAGAGCAGCUUGAUGGCAACCCCCGGCCCCCGCACGACUGGACAUCGUGCAGACGCUUGGACCAGCUGAAAUGACAGAUCGCCAACUUUCCGCGUCACAGACAGAUCCACGGCAUGCAACACGUCGAACUCCACUGACUUCGCACUUGUGACCCACGAAGAAA